rnacentral:rRNA from 1 species
CCUACGGGUGGCAGCAGUGGGGAAUAUUGCACAAUGGGGGAAACCCUGAUGCAGCGACGCCGCGUGGGUGAAGAAGCGCCUCGGCGCGUAAAGCCCUAUCAGCAGGGAAGAAAAUGACGGUACCUGACGAAGAAGCCCCGGCUAACUACGUGCCAGCAGCCGCGGUAAUACGUAGGGGGCGAGCGUUGUCCGGAAUUACUGGGUGUAAAGGGAGCGUAGGCGGGGGUGCAAGUUGGGGGUAAAAACUACCGGCUAAACUGGUAGUCGCACUUAAAACUUUAGCGCUUGAGUGAAGGAGAGGUAGGCGGAAUUCCUAGUGUAGCGGUGAAAUGCGUAGAGAUUAGGAGGAACACCAGUGGCGAAGGCGGCCUGCUGGGCUGUAACUGACGCUGAGGCUCGAAAGUGUGGGGAGCAAACAGGAUUAGAUACCCGUGUAGUC